GACGAACGCUGGCGGCGCGCUUAACACAUGCAAGUCGAACGGAAAGGCCUGCUUUCCCUUGUGGAUUGCGGGUACUCGAGUGGCGAACGGGUGAGUAACACGUGAGUGAUCUGCCCCCAUCUUGGGUAUAAGCCUGGGAAACUGGGUCUAAUUCCCGAUAGGACUGCAGGGUGGUGCCUGUGGUGGAAAACGAUUUUCUAGUGGUUGGGGAUGAGCUCGCGGCCUAUCAGCUUGUUGGUGGGGUAAUGGCCUACCAAGGCGGCGACGGGUAGCCGGCCUGAGAGGGUGGACGGCCACAUUGGGACUGAGAUACGGCCCAGACUCCUACGGGAGGCAGCAGUGGGGAAUAUUGCACAAUGGGCGGAAGCCUGAUGCAGCGACGCCGCGUGGGGGAUGACGGCCUUCGGGUUGUAAACUCCUUUCGACCGCGAGGAAGCCACCUGGUUGGAAGGGUGGUGACGGUAGUGGUAGAAGAAGCACCGGCUAACUACGUG
rnacentral:rRNA from 1 species